rnacentral:rRNA from 1 species
UACGUAGGGUGCAAGCGUUGUCCGGAAUUAUUGGGCGUAAAGAGCUCGUAGGCGGUUUGUUGCGUCGGCUGUGAAAUCCCGAGGCUCAACCUCGGGUCUGCAGUCGAUACGAGCAAACUAGAGUGUUGCAGGGGAGACUGGAAUUCCUGGUGUAGCGGUGAAAUGCGCAGAUAUCAGGAGGAACACCGAUGGCGAAGGCAGCUCACUGGGACGGUACUGACGCUGAGGCGCGAAAGCGUGGGGAGCAAACAGG